GAGCUAGGACCAAAGACUAAGAACGCCACUUCCUGUGGCAACGUCUUUGUGACCCACAUCCUGUGGG
rnacentral:sRNA from 1 species